rnacentral:tRNA from 1 species
GCCUCCUUUGCUCUGGAUAGCGUCGCUCUUGUAAAGCGAGGGUCGUCGGUUCGAAUCCGACAGGAGGCUCCA